AUGGGUGAAGUGCUACGGAAGCACGGACGGCUCCAACCCGUUCAGCCCAGGUUCGACUCCUGGCACCCGUG
rnacentral:tRNA from 1 species